GACAGAGGGUGCAAACGUUGUUCGGAAUUACUGGGCGUAAAGCGAGUGUAGGCGGUCUCAUAAGUCGGGUGUGAAAGCCCUGGGCUCAACCCAGGAAGUGCACUCGAUACUGCGGAGGCUAGAGUAUCGGAGAGGUUGGUGGAAUUCUCGGUGUAGAGGUGAAAUUCGUAGAUAUCGAGAGGAACACCGGUGGCGAAGGCGGCCAACUGGACGAAUACUGACGCUGAGACUCGAAAGCGUGGGGAGCAAACAGG
rnacentral:rRNA from 1 species